rnacentral:rRNA from 1 species
AUUGAACGCUGGCGGCAUGCCUUACUCAUGCAAGUCGAACGGUAGAGGGGGCAACCCCUCGAGAGUGGCGAACGGGUGAGUAAAGCAUCGGAACGUGCCCAGUAGUGGGGGAUAGCCCGGCGAAAGCCGGAUUAAUACCGCAUGAGACCUACGGGUGAAAGGGGGGGAUCGCAAGACCUCUCGCUAUUGGAGCGGCCGAUGUCAGAUUAGGUAGUUGGUGGGGUAAAGGCCUACCAAGCCGACGAUCUGUAGCUGGUCUGAGAGGACGACCAGCCACACUGGGACUGAGACACGGCCCAGACUCCUACGGGAGGCAGCAGUGGGGAAUUUUGGACAAUGGGCGAAAGCCUGAUCCAGCCAUGCCGCGUGCGGGAAGAAGGCCUUCGGGUUGUAAACCGCUUUUGUCAGGGAAGAAAUCCUUUGAGUUAAUACCUCGGGGGGAUGACGGUACCUGAAGAAUAAGCACCGGCUAACUACGUGCCAGCCGCCGCAGUAAAAC